GUCCAGCCUACGGGAGGCAGCAGUGGGGGAUAUUGCACAAUGGGGGGAACCCUGAUGCAGCGACGCCGCGUGGGUGAAGAAGCGCCUCGGCGCGUAAAGCCCUGUCAGCAGGGAAGAAAAUGACGGUACCUGAAGAAGAAGCCCCGGCUAACUACGUGCCAGCAGCCGCGGUAAUACGUAGGGGGCAAGCGUUAUCCGGAUUUACUGGGUGUAAAGGGGGCGCAGACGGCGAUGCAAGCCAGGAGUGAAAGCCCGGGGCCCAACCCCGGGACUGCUCUUGGAACUGCGUGGCUGGAGUGCAGGAGGGGCAGGCGGAAUUCCUGGUGUAGCGGUGAAAUGCGUAGAUAUUAGGAGGAACACCAGUGGCGAAGGCGGCUUUCUGGCUCAUAACUGACGCUGAGGCGCGAAAGCGUGGGGAGCAAACAGGAUUAGAUACCCCUGUAAUG
rnacentral:rRNA from 1 species